GCCGGGCACCGUGGCUCAUGUUUGUAACCCCAGCACUUUGGGAGGCUGAGGAGGGCGGAUCACCUGAGGUCAGGAGUUUGAGACCAGCCUGACCAAUAUGCUGAAACCCUGUCUUUAAAAAAAUAAUAAUAAUAACAAAUGAAGUUUGGCAUCAAUAUGGUGACCUCCUGGGCGUGGGGGACCACGAGGUUGCCUAAGGAGGGGUGAACCAGCCCAGGUCAGAAACGGAGCAGGUCAAAACUCCCAUGCUGGUCAGUAGUGGGAUCGUGCCUGUGAAUAGCCACUACACUCCAGCCUGGGCCACAUAGCGAGACCCCGUCUCUA
ensembl:misc_RNA Metazoa_SRP Metazoan signal recognition particle RNA